rnacentral:rRNA from 1 species
GAUGAACGCUGGCGGCGUGCCUAAUACAUGCAAGUCGAGCGAACAGACGAGGAGCUUUCUCCUCUGACGUUAGCGGCGGACGGGUGAGUAACACGUGGAUAACCUACCUAUAAGACUGGGAUAACUUCGGGAAACCGGAGCUAAUACCGGAUAAUAUAUUGAACCGCAUGGUUCAAUAGUGAAAGACGGUUUUGCUGUCACUUAUAGAUGGAUCCGCGCCGCAUUAGCUAGUUGGUAAGGUAACGGCUUACCAAGGCGACGAUGCGUAGCCGACCUGAGAGGGUGAUCGGCCACACUGGAACUGAGACACGGUCCAGACUCCUACGGGAGGCAGCAGUAGGGAAUCUUCCACAAUGGGCGAAAGCCUGAUGGAGCAACGCCGCGUGAGUGAUGAAGGUCUUCGGAUCGUAAAACUCUGUUAUUAGGGAAGAACAAAUGUGUGAGAAACUAUGCACGUCUUGACGGUACCUAAACAGAAAGCCACGGCUAACUACGUG